UUAACAGUAUGGUUAACUGUUUUCAAUUAAAUUAUGUCAUCCACAUCCUUCAGUUCUUAAUUUUUAUUCAUCUCUAGGUCCUCAUAUUUUGAAAGACCACCUGUGCUAUAUGUAUGAUCUGCUUGUCCCUGUCAAAACUCAGGUUGAAAUUUUGUUCCCGAUGUGGUGGUGUUGGGAGGUGGAGUCUCGUGGGAGGUAUUUUGCUAAAUUUCUUGAGGUACAGAAUAAAUGAAUGUCAUCCUCAGCGUACCAACAGUUUGAAAAAAUGAGAAGAAAAAUGGCAGCAGUAAAAGACCCCAUUAUGAACACAGGCUAGUAACUUUCUUAAUCCAAAAUUUCAAUUUGUUAUAAUGACAAGUACAUUUUAUUCAUGACAAAUGUAAAGUAUUGAAAGAGAAAUAAUCAAAUAGUUUAUAGCCUAUACUCCUCUAUUUCCUGAGGAUGCUGGCUUUGUAAUUUUUGAUAGUCAAGAAAACGAUCAUAAACCUAAUACAAUGCUUUUGUUUGUGCAAAUAUUCUGUCACAUUUCACUUGGAAUAUGGAGUAUAAUUUUGACCAUUGCUUUUUGGGUGACCCAUGAUAAAGAUAUAAAUUGUCUAGAAAGGCAAAUAGAUUAUAUAAAUGGGAUUCUAUAUAAACCAAACACAAACUUCUGGAAAGUUGAAGAGUAAACGAGAUGAUUAAACAUCACAAAUUAACAUGGUGCUUGUACUCAAUAAACGUAGCUAUUAUAAUUAUUUAAAAAUUAAUAAAGAGUUAAUACUAUACUCUUUAUAAAAUGAAACACCAGGACAAGAAAAUAAUGCAAAGGAUAGCUUAACUGUGAAAAAUAAUUUAAUAUUAAAUAAUGCUGAAAGUUGUUAAUCCCAACCAAUACAGUAUAUAUCUUUUUAGUGUCUCUUCACAUAAAUCUUAUAUAAUACUAUUGCACAAGUUUGUUAAAAGAUAAAAAACUACUAAAAAUAAAUCUGUGUGUGAUUUUUAGAAGACUACAUAUUUAUGUGUUCCACAUAUUGAAUCAAUUUUCAAACUUCAAAUUUUUAGAGUGCUUUUGGAGUGGAACACAUCCUGAGUGUGCCCUUUCAGUCCAGUCUCUUACUGAUGCUCUCCUAAUGGCAUUCACACAUGCAUACAGCUCGCCGCCCUAGAAGCGGCCUGCUUUAAGAUUGAAAAUAUGACUGAGAGUGGCCAAAAUACAACUCUCUGUGAGUGAUCCGGUUAUGUCCUAAUUAACUUUCAAUGUGUCAAAUUCAAGUGAUAGAAAAUGGCCAAGGAAUUAAGGAGGUAAGCUGAGAUUUUACACUUUUCUCAAUUUUAAGCUUGUUAUUAAGUGGAAAAUAAAGACUACACGCUUUUAUUGCUUUAAAAAAGACAAAAAAUGACAUUUAAUGACAUUCUUGAAGAAGAUGAACAUUUGUAAUUGCAAAUGGAACUCCUUGGAAAAUAAGCGUUCGUUGCUUUUGUUGCACAGAUCUUUCUUCUCCAGUUCAACAUGAAUCUCGAACUUUUAAAAUCCAGAUGGGCAGCACAUGACAAAUAUGGGUAAACUCAGCCAAUGAAACAAAAGUAUUUGUUUCCACCCUAUUUAAUGUGUUACUUCCUCCAAGUAACAAUAGAAAACUAAAACUUCUUGAAAAUAAAUAAAAUACCAAUUAAAUACCAAUUAUUUUAAAAGUGGUGAUAAAUUCCAAGAAAAAUAUGAUUAUAUUCAUUGUUAUUAUACCUUCAAUCAUAUUUAAAGGGCAUUUUGGAACUGGAUAAAUUAAAAUGUCCAACUAAAAGUAUCUUAGUUAACCAUUCUGUUUCCAGAAAGAACAUAAAUAAAUAUAUCUCACAGCAAAUUCUUAAGCUUUAUAUAACUUUAUUUUCAUCACUUUUUAUCUCUAGGAUUUAACAAAGAGCUGCUGAAGGUUUCACUGAUGUGGAAGCAGUGAAUUUAUAUUUCAGAAGGAAUACACAGAUAAGUGAUGGAUUCAGAGAAUUUAUAAGCUUAAAAAUGAAUUUUAAAAAUAUAAAUAAAAUGAUAUCUGCUUUGUGAUCAAAUCCAUUUGACUCCAUGUUAUUGUUUUAAUGCCCUAGUGGAGCUACUUCUCUGCACAGCUUUCUGGGAGUCCAGAGACUGCUCUAUACAUUGGAAAAUAUGAUGAAUGUGUUCAAGAGGGGCGUGACAAUUGUUCCGUACACAGAUUUUUCCAAGCAUUCUC
rnacentral:lncRNA from 10 species